ACACAUCUAACCACUCUUCAGCUGAUAUCCACUUGCUGACAAAUGAAUCUCUCUGGCCCCUGGACUGUGCCCUGAAACACAGCUUAAAACAGCAGAAUGAACAGUAAUCCCAGAGAUCCUGAGAUGAGAAAAGGGUGUUUGACUUAUUCAAAGAAGACCAAGGAAGCCCAAAGACCAGAGAAGAGUGCAGGAAAGGGGCGGCGGUCUGAGAUGCAGUCAGAGCAGUGGCAAGCCCCCAGAGUCUGUGGCAAAGACUUCAGGUUUCAUCCUGAAGAGGAAGACAGGUCUUUGGAGAGUUUUGAUCAAGGAAGUGAGAUGAAAUAUCUUAGGCUUACAAAGAACUACUCUGACAUCUAAAUGGAAAAUGGACUGAUGAAGCAAAAGAAGCCACAAGGAAGCCAGUUCAGAGGCUAUUGAAAUGCUCCAGAGGAACAGCGGUUUAUUGAAAGGAAAGCAAAUGUCCAGAAGCAAAAACAAACAAACAAAAAACAAACAAACAAACAAAAACAGAAAAAACUUCCCCAAAAGUAAAGAAUCACAGCUUUAUUCAGUAGCUCCUCAAUUAAAAUAGUCAUCUUCUUAAUUGUGCCAUCUUCAGAAGCAGCCAUAUAUACUGUAGUUAAGAGGCACAUGGUGAGAAAUUUGGGGUCCAAUCAAGAUGAUAGGAUUCAUCUACAUGGCAGCCCUCAAAGAUUCUGGAAGAGAAAAAUGGUGAAAAGAUACUCAGAGAGUGAGAGCCUUCAGAUUUGGGUGAGUGAUGCCAUUAGAACCAAGAUUUCUUCCAUUCUUCUGCUCUAUCAUUCUCAGCACAACAUGCUUUUCUCAUUAAGAUUUUCAAAAAUGCUUGUUGAUAAAAUGAAGUCAGAAUGUGAGAUGAGCCCUUCCACCUGAGUGAUGUUGGUCUUGGCUGUGUGAUUUGCUUUGGCUGAUGAUAAGUUGAUGGAAGUGAUAGUAAGACAAUGCUGAGCCUCAUCCUCGGAAGUAUCUCUGCCUUCACCUGGCUUUGUGCACCACUGCCCUGGCUUUGAGAAGAACAUGAGCCCAGUAAAUUGUUAGUCCAGGAAGAAUGAGAGAGAAAGUCCUGAGGCAGAGAAGUGGAGAGAAGUUGCUGCUUGAGCUUGAGAAAGAAUGGUGGCAGAGUACAUGCAUGGAAGUGCUACCAUAGCUGCUCUGAAAUCAGAGGAAAGUGGAAUUAUAAGAAGACCCCAUCUGACAAGGCUCAUAAAGGAGAGCAACUCUUAUGGAAUACAUCCAAGAUAUAUACGUCUUUGAAGAAAGACAUCACUCAACUGUGAAAGAUCACCAUGACCCCUGCUUUAAUUUCAUCAAAAAACUUAGUCCAUCAGCUCAGUUACCCUUUAGCCUUGCAUGGGAAUUGACUCAGAGCUUCUGCAAGAUCAGGCCCUAUAUUAGGUAUUGAGGGUUCAGGGAUGAACUAAGCUGAUCUGGUUCCUGCUCUCUAGGCUGUAGAAGAUGGCAAGUGCUGUGGACUUCAAAGAAAAGAUUUCUGAAGUGUCAUGUUAUGACAAUUGUGAUGCUUCAAACUAUGUUGACUAUUCAUUUACAGCAUAAAGAAGAGUGAGCCACUUUAUCACUGCAGUAAUUAUAUUUUAAAAAUAAAGAAAAUAAAACAAAUGGAGUUUCCCACCCAAUCCAUGGAGACACAGACACGAAGUCUUACUAUAGAUGUGUGGCCAAUCCUUACAUUGCUUUUAUUACAAGCCUGGAAAUGACAAUAAAAUACAUGAACUUGAGAGUAUAUA
rnacentral:lncRNA from 1 species